rnacentral:lncRNA from 1 species
GGGCCACACCCACAGCACAUGGAGGUUCCCAGGCUAGGGGCUGAAUCAGAGCUACAGCUGCCAGCCUACACAACCACAGCCACACAGGAUCCGAGCCGCAUCUGCGACCCACACCACAGCUCACGGCAAUGCCAGAUCCCCAACCUACUGAGCAAGGCCAGGGAUUGAACCCGCAACUUCAUGGUUCCUAGUCAGAUUCAUUUCUGCUGUGCCACAAGAGGAACUCCCUCUAUUACAUUUUUCAUUUAAUUAAAUAACUGCUGUUGAACAUUCUGAAAUACAGAAAAAGAGAACCAGUAAAACACCUGCCAAUUACAUCAACACAGCUCUUCCAGCCAGAGGUAAAAUGAUCCUUCCUUUCUCCUUUCAAAUCAACUCCACAAUUACCCCAACAGCGGAAUUAUUCUGAUUAGUCACACUGAACCACAGGGACAGACUGUGAUCAAUCAAUAGAAGUGACAUACAAAGACAAGGAUGAUCUUUCCAGUGAGUAUCGUAUAAAUACAAUGGGUCUCCUCAAAAGCAGGAGCUGUGUCUUUUUCCUCUCUAGCUGUGCACACUAGCCAGUCUAAGUAUCCUAUCAAUGAGGUUAUUAUCUAAAAGUGGCAGUCAUCCUGCCUUCUGGAACACAGGGAAGUGAAGUAGAAGUGUAACUCUGAGAACUUCAAGUUCAACUGGGAUUGGUGCCCAGCUACUCAUGAGGAGAUGUGUCUAACAACGUGAGUUCUCAGGGUGCCAGUGAUCAUCACUGUCAUCACUUAGAAGGUACUGUCUAAGCCACCACUAAAGAGAAGCUCAGGGGUUUCUCUGUGGCUCAGCAGGUUAAGGACCCAGUGGUGUCACUGCUGCAGCUUGGGUCGCUGCUGUGGUGAGAGUCUGAUCCCUGGCCAGGGAACUUCCACAUGCCACAGGCGCUGCCAAAAAUUUAAAAACAAAACAAAUAAAAAGAAGCUCAAGGAGUUCUUGCUGUGGCAAAACAGGAUGGUUGGUGUCUCUGCAGGGCCAGGAUUCAGGUUCGAUCCUGGCCUGGUACAGUAGGUUAAAGGGAUCCGGAGUUGCUGCAGUUUCAGUGUAGGUUACAACCGCAGCUCAGAUCUGAUCUCUGGCCCACAUGCCAUGAGCCAGCCAAAAAAGAAGAAAAGAGAAAAGAAAAAAGCAGCUCAAGUACAAGUCUUGAAGGAAGAACAAAUUUUCUGAUUUGGGAUGGGGGCGGGGAAAGAACUAUCCCUAUCUAGAAAACAACUUUUUAGAAAAGGGAAACUCUUAGAUGCCUGAGUUACUUUCAGCCCAGCUGAAAAGAUGCUAAAUUGACCACACUAUCUACUCAAAGAUUAGGUUACCUAUUAUGCAAAUCAUUAUCAAACCAAAAGGGCUCAACAGGGUGUAUCAACUCAGAAAGAAAGACAGACCCAUCAAACCUGGAUACUUUCUGAGAUGACUAUGUUAUUUCACUAGCCACUUUCAAUUACUUUUUUGUAAAUUCUGCAACUUUGAUCAGCAAGUUAAAAUGCAAAUAGUUUCUUGUACCAUUUCCAUCCAACUUAUUCUAAAUCAAUAAAUACAAACGAUGCUAUCCUCCUCUACCAACACACACACACACACAAUUUCCGGAGAGCAGAGUUUAGUCACUCCAGAACCUAGACAGCUUUCCUUUCUGACACAAUAAGGUUUUGACCUUCCUUGUUACUACCUCAUCACGCAAAAAGUUCUGACUGCCAGGACUAGAACCAAGGCCAUAAGUCAGGAUCAUAUACUAAAACUAAUCCUAGGUACAGGUAACACUUAUUGAGUGUCUACUACAUGCUGAAAAGGCAUUUGGUUGAUAUUGCUUUAUCCCUAUUGCUCUAGCUAAGCCAGUGCACAUAUAAGCUACUGCUUUUAAGAAGUGCACAAACUGAGCAGAACAAUCCCCAAAGAGACCUUUCUCUCAGUAUCCUCCACAGGGCCCAGGAGUCCCCUGUGUGUGCAAAUUUCUACAUUGUGUUUUAAAAAACACUAUCUACAUCAUUCCUCAUUUCUAAAGGCAUUCUUUACUCGUGAAGGACUUUUAUAGCUUUAUAAUACAGCUGUUUAUCAAAGGUCACUGCAGUGCCAUAAACUACACUUUGGGGUUAUGUCCCAUCAUUCAUUCUGCUGCCCUAACCCUACCGCUUUUAAACUGACUGAACACCUCUCAUGACUUUUUUAUCCACUAAAUAGGCCAAUAGUACCAACUUCACAGGCACUCAAAUUCAAGUCUUGAAGUUCCUCUCUGCUCUCAUCCAGAUAUGUCAUAAUAGAGUGGCUUUCUUGAGACUGAACUUCAUCUCCUUAGGCCAACUGAAGAGAAGACCUGGGGGUGGGGGUUGGAGGGAAUGUCAACCAAAAACAUACACUAGAAAUGAACAUCUGUAAAAGAUUGUGUAAACGAAGAAACAAGCUCAGAAAACAAGGCCAGUGUUUACAUACAAACCACAUAAAAGGAAAGCCUUCUCUUAGCCCAGGUUCCAAAGAGGCUGGCCUCAAUCCUGGUCUAGGUUGCAUUAGUUCAUCAUCAUUAACGAUGCAGUUCAGCUGUAUUAAUGAGACACUCACACAGAGGUGGAUGCUGUACAGAAUCUGGAAAGACUCCCAUAUCUAAAGUCUAAAAAGCAACCCUGAAAAGAAGAUACAGUACUCUCAAGGUUUCCUUUCAGGUUCUGGGGACUCGGCCCUUUAGGAUGUAGAAAGCUCCGGAAGCGAGAAGCUGACGACUAGGUUAAAUCUAGGAACACAGGAAGAAGGAUUCCGGCAUCCGAAGGAGAUCGAAAGCCAGAGUCGAAGUCGUCCCUCCGGCGGCAGGGGCCUGACCUUUGCCCCCCUGCACCUCUCCCAGUUCCCUCCCAUAACAUUCUCUCCCUCUUCUCGAUUCUGCCCCGGCUCAUUCAAUUUAAGGGCCCUCCUCCCCUAUUCCCUCUCGCGAUGUCAGAGCGGCCUUCACGACUCUGGAACUCUUAAGAGACUUCGCUGACCUGUCAGCGGAUCCAAAAUGGCGGGGCCUAGUCCCAGGACCGGCAGCCGCUGCUCAUGUCCAGCCCAGGCCCCGAAGGCGUCUCCCAGCUGCUCUACCGGCUCUGGUGGCAGAUGCGAGCAGGGAAGGUGCUCGUUUCCUGGGAGUUGACGCUGAAAUCAAGAGCCGCACAGUUGGUCGGGAAGAGUCGACCGGAACGGGCGGUGGAGCCGGCUGCCUUCCCUGUCAGCUCACUGACGUGGUAACUAGCCUCAGUCUAGCCCGCUGCCUGGUAACUGCGCGAGGCCUGCCGCGCACAGCCAAUCAUAGCUUUGCACUGUGAAAAGUGGCAUUCCAGCUAUCCAAUUGAAGAAAGGAAAUUGGCUUUUGGAGGCGGGUAGUGCCCGAAGAGGCUAGAUUACAAGGGAAAGAAAAGGGUAGGCAGGGGACAACCAACGGAUAUGAGGACUCUCUGAGUGACAGUUAUGAAAGCCAAUAAAAAAGGAGAAUUUGUGCUGGGCAGUUGGAGAGGCGGAGUUGGGUAGAGUUUGGUUGCAGUGCGUGGCUUGACAGUGGCUGCUGGGCAUUAUGGGGAAGAAAGCUAUGAUUUGCUGGAAAGGGGGCGGGGUCCGUUUUGAGAGCCUGAGUGGACGGCCUUACUCCCCCCCAUCCCGAUGCCCGCUGCCACUCCUUAUUAAAGUCACCUGGGCCAAUACCGUGACCCUUGAGGGAUCAUUUCCUUUCGAGGCAUCGCUGGGCUCCCUCCAGGAUGGAGGAGCAAUCUAUUCCAAACUCCCUUCCCCCACCGUCCCGUCCGCUUGCCCUGUUUGGCUUCUCAUAGAUGAGUCCGUCCCAUCUCAACUUUGUUUCUAUGACUUGCGCCGAUGGAGACAAUGGGAGGUGACAGAAACCUUGGGUAUCUAAUUCAGGUCCUUUCAUUUUGCAGAGCAGGAAACUGAUUCCCAGAAUGGAAAGAGAGCCCCCACGUUUUUUUAUAGCUAGUUAAUUACAGAGCAGAGAGACAAACCCAGGUGUCCUCACUCCACUCCAGCUCUCUUUUUCACUGCCCUUCGAUAUUUCUUAUGCUUUAGUCUAUCAGACUGUGACUCCCAGCUCUGACCCUCAUCCUAAGCCUCAGACACCCUUUACCUACCUGGAAAAAAAGCUAACCACACGGGUUAGUCCUCAUCACCAGGGACAGGAAACUGAAACCUUUACUGUUUGCCUUAGAAAUGCUAAGAGGCCUGAGGGCAAGAUGCUAGCCCACAGUAUUCACUCUCCUGCCCCCAGCUGCUUCUCCCCUGGCAAGAGAAGAUACAGGGUACCAAGUUAUUUAGAAUUACCUAGAAGUAAGAGUGUGUAGAAAGAGGACAGAAAGAUGACUUUCUCCUUGCAGAUUGAAUGGUGGAAUUCCUAGCCUGUCUGCUGGAAUAAAGCCCAGGUGUUCCUGCAGAUCUGAAGAGACUGCUGGGACACAGUAAAAGAAGAUACCAACUCUCCCCUCAUUUUCUCCCAUUUAUGGAUGACCCAAGUCCAGGGAAACUCCAUUCCUAACCCCAUAGGAAUGUGGUCUCAAAACCAGACAGCCAAAGACCAACCUUGGGCUAGAACCCUCUAAUAUGAAGAAACCACCAGAACUGACAUCAGAAGAAUUCCUUAACAGCUUCCUGCACCUGGAUUUUGGGCUCCUGAUCUCUGGGUCCAGGUGAAGACCUUGCCUCUUUCACCCAAAAAGUCAGGAGUAGCGGGUACAACCACCAUAGCAUCUCUUUCCACACUACCUCUGAGCCAUUUUCCACCUUCAUUUGAAAACUGAUACUUGGUCUCUUGGGCAUAUCUCAGAGAAGUCCUGGAUAAUAAACUGGAAAAUUCUCUAAGUGGCCCAAAACUCCCUUCUACCCCAUCUCCACUCCUACAUACCUCUAGAAAUUAAUCGAUCUGAAAG